CCAGACACCUACGGGUGGCAGCAGUCGAGAAUCAUUCACAAUGGGCGCAAGCCUGAUGGUGCGACGCCGCGUGGGGGAUGAAGGGCUUCGGUCUGUAAACCCCUGUCAUCUGUGAGUAAGGUCUCGUAUAAAAGCUACGAGGAUUGAUAUUAGCAGAAGAGGAAGGGACGGCUAACUCUGUGCCAGCAGCCGCGGUAAUACAGAGGUCCCAAGCGUUGUUCGGAUUUACUGGGCGUAAAGGGUGCGUAGGCGGUUAGAAAAGUUUGGUGUGAAAUCUUCGGGCUCAACCCGGAAACUGCACUGAAAACUAUUUAACUAGAGGAUCGGAGAGGAGAUUGGAAUUCUCAGUGUAGCAGUGAAAUGCGUAGAUAUUGAGAGGAACACCAGUUGCGAAGGCGGAUCUCUGGACGAUUCCUGACGCUGAGGCACGAAAGCUGGGGGAGCGAAGAGGAUUAGAUACCCUCGUAGUCCCAGCCGUAAACGGUGCGCACUUGCUGUGGGCGGAUUCGACCCCGUCCGUGGCGAAGCUAACGCGUUAAGUGCGCCGCCUGGGGAGUACGGUCGCAAGAUUAAAACUCAAAGAAAUUGACGGGGGCCUGCACAAGCGGUGGAGUAUGUGGCUUAAUUCGAUGCAACGCGAAGAACCUUACCUGGCCUUGACAUGUAGUGGCCCGGGUGCGAAAUCACCCUUUUCUUCGGAACUGCUACACAGGUGCUGCAUGGCUGUCGUCAGCUCGUGUCGUGAGAUGUUGGGUUAAGUCCCGCAACGAGCGCAACCCCCGUGUUCUGUUGCCACCCGGAUGAGAAUCCGGAGCACUCUGGACAGACUGCCUGGUUUCAACCAGGAGGAAGGUGGGGAUGACGUCAAGUCAGUAUGGCCCUUACGGCCAGGGCUGCACACGUACUACAAUGCCCGGUACAAUGGGAAGCGAGACCGCGAGGUGGAGCAAAUCCUAAAAACCGGGCCCAGUUCAGAUUGUAGGCUGCAACUCGCCUACAUGAAGGAGGAAUCGCUAGUAAUGCCGUAUCAGCUACGACGGCGUGAAUACGUUCCCAGGCCUUGUACACACCGCCCGUCACAUCAUGA
rnacentral:rRNA from 1 species